rnacentral:rRNA from 1 species
UACGAAGGGGGCUAGCGUUGCUCGGAAUCACUGGGCGUAAAGCGCACGUAGGCGGGUCUUUAAGUCGGAGGUGAAAUCCUGGAGCUCAACUCCAGAACUGCCUUCGAUACUGAGGAUCUCGAGUCCGGGAGAGGUGAGUGGAACUGGCGAGUGUAGAGGUGAAAUUCGUAGAAUAGUUCGCAAGAACACCAGUGGCGAAGGCGGCUCACUGGCC